GACGAACUGUGCGAACGUUGUUCGGAAUCACUGGGCUUAAAGGGUGCGUAGGCGGCGCGGUAAGUCGGGUGUGAAAUCUCGGAGCUUAACUCCGAAACUGCAUUCGAUACUGCCGUGCUUGAGGACUGGAGAGGAGACUGGAAUUUACGGUGUAGCGGUGAAAUGCGUAGAUAUCGUAAGGAAGACCAGUGGCGAAGGCGGGUCUCUGGACAGUUCCUGACGCUGAGGCACGAAGGCCAGGGGAGCAAACGGG
rnacentral:rRNA from 1 species